rnacentral:rRNA from 1 species
UACGUAGGGGGCAAGCGUUGUCCGGAAUCAUUGGGCGUAAAGAGCGCGUAGGCGGUCCGGUAAGUCGGUUGUGAAAGUCGGGGGCUCAACCCUCGGAUGCCGAUCGAUACUGUCGGGCUAGAGUCCGGAAGAGGCGAGUGGAAUUCCUGGUGUAGCGGUGAAAUGCGCAGAUAUCAGGAGGAACACCAAUGGCGAAGGCAGCUCGCUGGGACGGUACUGACGCUGAGGCGCGAAAGCGUGGGGAGCGAACAGG